rnacentral:rRNA from 1 species
GUGGGGAAUCUUGCGCAAUGGGGGAAACCCUGACGCAGCAACGCCGCGUGAGUGACGAAGGCCUUCGGGUCGUAAAGCUCUGUCAGAUGGAAAGAAUUAACGUGCUGAAAAUAUUGGCACGUGAUGACGGUACCAUCAGAGGAAGCACCGGCUAACUCCGUGCCAGCAGCCGCGGUAAUACGGAGGGUGCAAGCGUUGUUCGGAAUUAUUGGGCGUAAAGCGCGUGUAGGCGGGAAGACAGGUCAGGUGUGAAAUCCCUUGGCCUAACCAAGGAACUGCAUCUGAAACCAUUUUCCUCGAGUACGAUAGGGGAUGGCGGAAUUCCCAGUGUAGAGGUGAAAUUCAUAGAUAUUGGGAGGAACACCAGUGGCGAAGGCGACCAUCUGGAUCGAUACUGACGCUGAGACGCGAAAGCGUGGGUAGCAAACAGGAUUAGAUACCCGGGUAGUCC